rnacentral:rRNA from 1 species
AUUGAACGCUGGCGGCAGGCCUAACACAUGCCAGUCGAACGGUAACAGAAAGCAGCUUGCUGCUUUGCUGACGAGUGGCGGACGGGUGAGUAAUGUCUGGGAAACUGCCUGAUGGAGGGGGAUAACUACUGGAAACGGUAGCUAAUACCGCAUAACGUCGCAAGACCAAAGAGGGGGACCUUCGGGCCUCUUGCCAUCGGAUGUGCCCAGAUGGGAUUAGCUAGUAGGUGGGGUAAAGGCUCACCUAGGCGACGAUCCCUAGCUGGUCUGAGAGGAUGACCAGCCACACUGGAACUGAGACACGGUCCAGACUCCUACGGGAGGCAGCAGUGGGGAAUAUUGCACAAUGGGCGCAAGCCUGAUGCAGCCAUGCCGCGUGUAUGAAGAAGGCCUUCGGGUUGUAAAGUACCUUCAGCGGGGAGGAAGGGAGUAAAGUUAAUACCUUUGCUCAUUGACGUUACCCGCAGAAGAAGCACCGGCUAACUCCGUG